ensembl:lncRNA
CUCUUUUACAAGAAAGAGGGGAGACCGAGUACAAGCAUACUCUUACAACCAACUCUUGCCCAACAAACCACUGGGAGGACACAGCCUUCUCAGGCUACGGACUCAAGGAGCGAGGUGGGAAGGGUCUGCAGAGGGAUUCUGGAGCACCCCCGGCCAGGCAUAUCGUAGGAGACUGCCAACAUUUCAAACAUUUCCUUGAUGUAGGAUGAUCACAAUUGAAAGGAAUGUGAAUUUUAUCCAGCCGUCGGUCAGUCUCCUUUUCAACGGGAGUGUUUUUUGCCCCACUGCCAAGACCACUCACAGAUGCAAGGUGAUGGGAAUGGAAGUAUCAAGCCCAACUCCCCAACAACCAUGAAUCCAUAUUAAUGGAGAGCAAAUGUCCUGCCAAAAGCAAGACUGAUGAAAAAGAGAGACAACUGUCUGCUCACCACCUCCCUCAGCCCCCAGUGUCUCCAAGGUAUUUUUCAGGAAACAUGAGGGAUGAUCUGGACGACUGUUUAAUUUGGAGAAAAUCCUAGAAGGAUUCUAUGUUCCCCAUGGCUAGUUGGAGGGAGAAGCACUUACCUGGUAAUAUCCAAACUUAACCCGAGCUGAGAUUUUAGCCUCAAGCCUUGAUUAAAGACUAGUAAUUAAGACUAACUAUUCUGAAAUAGGUAGGAAAGAGAUUAAGUGAAGGAAUCUCUUGAGAUACUUGUCUCUCCCUUUCUGGAGGGAUUGUGGAUUGCCAGCCUGGGUCUGGAGGCCUGAUUUUCUGGCAGCUAAAAUUAGGCAAGAGGUGUCUGAGUUUCUGCACCAGAGCUUCUCCCUUUCGAACAGGGAGUACAAUUCAUUUCUGCUUUGCAAGGGAGUCACAAGGCUGAAUACAACAGCAGCAGCAGGUUGUUCAUAUGCUGCACUCCUGAGUGCCAAAAAGAGAAGAAAAGCCUGCAUAUAACAAGCCUGAGCACCUCAGCGCUUCACAGCUUUCAUGCCAAAAAGAGAAGAUCAGCAUCUCCCAAAAUAUAAUUAACUGUUCUUUUUAUUUGAGCUGUUAAAGUUUCCACAUCAGACUCCUUAUUCUUUUUUUCCAGGAUUCAGCUAAAUAAAUCCCAGUGAGGGUUAUGUUUUAGGAAAAUAUUCCCAAUAAAUACCAAUGAACUUUUGAUCUCUGAAGUUAUUCUAAACUCGUGGCUUAAUGAUAACUAAUAAUAAUAAUGACUGUUAACUCUCACAACUCCCAGCCCCUACAAUACUUUUUGCCAAAAUCAUAUCAAUCAUACAGCACAGGUGGGGGACCAACUGACUGCUGCAAGGGACCUGGGAGCCCUGAAAGAGCCAGCAGUGCCUGUUGGCCACAAUGAAAGCCAACAGAGCACUGCACCAAAAGGAGCACAGCCAGCAGAUACAGAGAAGUGAUUAUUCUCAUCUGCUCUGGGCUUGUCAAAGCAUAACUAGACACUGUAUCCAGUUUUGAGCCCCCUAGUGCAAGGAAAGACACCAACUACAUUGAAUGAGUUCAGCAGAGGGCCACCACUGUGCUGGAGCAUUUGGCCUGGGAAGAGAGGCUGAGGAACCAGGUCUCAUCCAGCCUAGAGAAGAGAUGGCUUCUAGGGGGCCUAUCAGGAGCCCACUGGUACCUGCAAGGAUGUGGUUCAGAAGACUGAGCCAGGCUUUCCACAGACAUGCAUAGUAGGAGGAUGAGACACAAAGGCUGUGUGCUGCAAUAGAAGAUGUUCUGACAUCAUGUGAGAAAGGUCAUCUUCCCUGUAUGGACAGCCAAGCAGCCAGUGGAGCAAGUAGCACCAACAGGUCAUGCAGUCUUUACCCUUGAAGACUUAAAAGAUCAACUGGACAAAGCUCUCAGUGACCUGUUCUUAUCCCUGCUUUGAGCAGUUUGGCUAGGAGCAGCUGGGUGAGCUCAAGAGGUCCCUUCCUACCUCAAUCAUUCUGUAAACCUUGUACUAUAAACUGUAAUUUGUCAUGAAAGUCACAGAAACAUUGGCAGACAUCACUGUACAGUUGGCAAGAACAUGGAGUUGGUAAAUUAUGCAUCUCCACUAACAUCAUAUUCACCUAGUUCAAGAUCUUAUGAAGCAAGAACUCAAAGGUUAUCAUCACAGUUGUGUGAGUAGUCAGGACUAAAUGCUGAUCUACCAAGAUCUGGUCAGGAGCCAGGUGAAGUAAGUGGAAAGUCUGAGGGUACAUAUCAGCUGACUUGGGAUGUAGAUAUCCAAACCUGAACUCAUUAUUGGCAACUGAUUGACCGCCCACCAAGAGAAGUCUGUCCACAUAUUUAGACAGAAAUCUAAAAUAGUUCUGACUGAGUGCCAAACACAUUUACUCUCCUGACUACAAAGGGAGUCUGUCUGACUGCUCUGGAUACAGCCAUGUAUAGUGCUGACCUUUCAAGUGAGAUGAGAUAGAUCCUACCCCUACUGACUUCAGCUGGGGGAUGGAUUAUGCUUGGAGCCAGUUGUGGUCAGCGUAGUCAGACUCAGAAAUAAAGCAUACAAACUCCACACAGAAAUGCACUUCUGGUGCAGUUUUCCAUUUAGAGUUCUAUUCCCAUAGUUCUGUAAUCUUCAUUAUUUACCAGCAGAAAUUCUUUCUUGUCUUGGGUACUACAGGCUUGAGGGCUACAGGAAGAAACUGAGUGAAAUUUCAUAGUGGAAAGCAUGAUUUUCUCAUGAAAAGGAAAAUACCUGACUCUACUAGCAGACCUUACAAGUAAUGCAUGUACUGUGAGAUAGAAUAGCUUUUCAGUGAUCCCAGGCCUACAUACACUGUGGCUGAGCAGUAUAAGCUUGUACUCAUGCACCACAGAAAUGGGAAAAACCUUCCUCAUUACUGCAGGAAAGGCUUCCAGCACAGGUAAAGAAAUGUGUGCCUGGCACUGACCUUGGGACAUUGUCCAUGCAGGAGGUGCUCCUGCACAGAGCAGACGGAGAUGGGCAGCAGGCAGGGAGCCUGCUCUCACUGAAGAUGCUGGGGUUAACUCUGUAGCUUCACAGUCCAUUUCUGCUGGCAAGAGAAUGAGGCCACAUGAAGGGAAUCGAGAUGCUGAUCCAUGUUAAAAAUAGCCACGUGGGAGGCUGGACAGAGAGCAGCACAGCAGCUGGCUGCUCCCAGCAGGCGAUGCCCAGAAAGCAGGAGGAAGGGUGAGACUGCUCUUCUCAGCACCACAGUGGCCAGGACUCUGCUGCAGUGCAAUCCCUGAGCUGAGCCUGUGCCAGGGAGGAUCUUGGUGACCCCGCAUACACCCUUGUUGGGGAACCAUCAUAUAGAAGAGAGCGACAGACUUCGAAUGACAGACAGCAUUGCUCCCACGCCCUGAAAACGGGUGUAGCCCGGGCUGUAGUGUGCUGAGGCUGGAAUUUAGAAUAAGCUUUCAUUUCCUCUUCUUUCAGUCUUCAGCAUUUUUUGCCUCCAAAAAUAAAACAAUUGGUGUUAAACCACCUUCAGUGUUUCUUGCAAAACGGCUUCUCUCUCAUCGCCUUAGUGAUCGAGGUGUAGUAGUACAGAGAUUUAAGUGAUAAGCAGGUCUUGGAAAGAAACAUUAGCUUUCAUGAGGAAAAGUGAAAUAACAGACGGCUUUUUGAGUACAUAGGUCUGAAGAAAUGCUGGAUGCCCAACUCCUGCCUGUAUCCUCACUGUGAAUAUGCCAACAUACUGGCUAUUGUUGACUGCCCCAAUCAACACUCAUUUUGGUGCUGUUUAAAGAUCUUACCUCCCUCUGUCCAUGCUUCUACUCCUUUUACUUUGUUUUAUAGUGGCUGAUCUCUCAAUCCCUGAGCCAUGCCACUUGCCUUGGUCACAUGAAGAGUCAGUGUUGGCUUAUGAGUGGGGGCAAGCAGAGUGCUGAAUUCCCCAGCUGAC